rnacentral:rRNA from 1 species
UGCCUCCGGGGCGACCCUGCCUUCGGGCGGGGGCUCCGGGUGGACACUUCAAACUCUUGCGUAACUUUGCAGUCUGAGUAAACUUAAUUAAUAAAUUAAAACUUUUAACAACGGAUCUCUUGGUUCUGGCAUCGAUGAAGAACGCAGCGAAAUGCGAUAAGUAAUGUGAAUUGCAGAAUUCAGUGAAUCAUCGAAUCUUUGAACGCACAUUGCGCCCCCUGGUAUUCCGGGGGGCAUGCCUGUUCGAGCGUCAUUUCACCACUCAAGCCUCGCUUGGUAUUGGGCAACGCGGUCCGCCGCGUGCCUCAAAUCGACCGGCUGGGUCUUCUGUCCCCUAAGCGUUGUGGAAACUAUUCGCUAAAGGGUGUUCGGGAGGCUACGCCGUAAAACAACCCCAUUUCUAAGGUUGACCUCGGAUCAGGUAGGGAUACCCGCUGAACUUAAGCAUAUCAAUA